AGCCUUACCUGGCAGAGGAGAUACCAAGAUCAAGAAGAUGAUGGUUUUCCCAGGGCAGGGCUUAUCUAUUGCAACCCAAAUGUGCUGACUCCUGCAAUUUCCUCAAAUUUGGGAAACAUGACUGAAUAAUUUGUGGAAGUGGGAGACUUCAUUCAUGCUCUCCCU